UAUCUGGUUGAUCCUGCCAGUAUUAUAUGCUGAUGUUAAAGAUUAAGCCAUGCAUGUGUAAGUAUAAAGUCCAAGAAGGAUGAAACUGCGAACGGCUCAUUAAAACAGUUAUAGUUUCUUUGGUUAGUAAAUUACAAGGAUACCUUUGUGAAUGAUAAAGAUAAUACUUGAGACGUUCCUUUAAGUAGUAAUACUUAAAGGCCUAUUUCAGUAAUGAAAUAGAGUAAUGGUAUUUAACAAGAAAUUAAAUACUAAGACAAUUGUAGAACUCAAUGAGUUUAACAAGUAAUCAAAGAGAAUAUCUGAUCUAUCAAUUAGUUGGUAGUAUCGAGGACUACCAAGAUGAUAACGGAUAACGAGGAAUUAGGGUUUGACAUCGGAGAGGGAGCUUUAAAGAUGGCUACCACUUCCAAGGAAGGCAGCAGGCGCGUAAAUUACCCAUUUCCAAAACGGAGAGGUAGUGACGACAAUUAACUCAUGAAAUAACUAUGUUAUUUCUUGAAGGAAUGAGUAAGAAGUAAAUAUUCUUACAAAAUCAAUUGGAGGGCAAGUCUGGUGCCAGCAGCCGCGGUAAUUCCAGCUCCAAUAGUGUAUAUUAAAGUUGUUGUGAUUAAAACGCUCGUAGUUGAAUUUAAAUGAAUUGAUGUUUAAAUUCUUAUUGCUUUCAAAUUCAAUUUGAAUCUGAUAAGAAUUUAAGUUAUAUACAUCAAUAUAUAAGGACAUUACUACUCUUCAUUUGAAUAGUAGUAAUGAUUACUUUGAAAAAAAUAAAGUGUUUAAAGCAAAACAUAUUUGUUAAUGAAUAAUGAAGCAUGGGACAAUAUCUAAAGGAGAAUCAAUUUAUUGAUUUUCAAGAAAAAGAUUAAAAGGAAUAAUUGGGGUGAUUCAGAAAAUUUUGGGAGAGGUGAAAAUCCAUGAUCAAAAUAAGAUGAACGAGAGCGAAAGCAUUUCACUCAAUUAUAUUCAUUAAUCAAGAACGAAAGUUAGGGGAUCGAAGACGAUCAGAUACCGUCGUAGUCCUAACUAUAAACAAUGUCAACCAAGGAUUGGAUAAAUUAAUGAUUAUCGGUUAGAUCUAUUUAUCAUUGAUAAAUAAAAAUGGCUGUAUAAUCUCUACUACCUUAUUCAGAACUUAAAGAGAAAUCUUGAGUUAAUAGACUUCAGGGGGAGUAUGGUCACAAGGCUGAAACUUAAAGGAAUUGACGGAAGGGCACACCAGGAGUGGAGCCUGCGGCUUAAUUUGACUCAACACGGGAAAACUUACCAAGACCGAACAUUAUAAGGAAUGACAGAUUAAGAGUUCUUUCAUGAUUUAAUGGGGUGUGGUGCAUGGCCGUUCUUAGUUGGUGGAGUGAUUUGUCAGGUUAAUUCCGGUAACGAACGAGACUGAAACCUAUUAAUUAGUUUAUUAACCUCUUAGAGUUAAUAACGUAAGUAAUUACGAUUGAUUAAAUUUUCAUUUAAUCAAUACUUCUUAAAGGGACACAUUUCAAUUGUUUCAUAAUACUUUAAGUACUAUAUUUCGAUAUAGUCUUAAGUAAUAUGAAAAAAAGAAAAAGGAAGCAUUCAGCAAUAACAGGUCUGUGAUGCCCUUAGACAUCUUGGGCUGCACGCGCGCUACAAUAAAGUUACUAAUGAGUAUAUUUAUUAUGAUAUAUUGGAUUAUUUUAUAAUUAUUAUUCGUAAUAAUUAUUUAAUACAUCCUUUAUAUUUUACCUAAACUGAAAUAGUUAAGGAAAACUCUAAAGAUCUUAUUUGACUGGGAUAAAUGAUUGGAAUUAUUUGUUUUGAACGAGGAAUUCCUUGUAAUAUCAUGUCAUUAACAUGAGAUGAAUACGUCCCUGCCCUUUGUACACACCGCCCGUCGCUCCUACCGAUUGAAUUGUGAGGUGAAAUUUUAGGAUUCGUUAUAGUCUCUAUAAUGAAAAAUGAAUUUAAAUCUCAUUAUUUAGAGGAAGGAGAAGUCGUAACAAGGUUUCCGUAGGUGAACCUGCGGAAGGAUCA
rnacentral:rRNA from 1 species